rnacentral:rRNA from 1 species
GACGAACGCUGGCGGCGUGCUUAACACAUGCAAGUCGAACGGAAAGGCCCUGCUUUUGUGGGGUGCUCGAGUGGCGAACGGGUGAGUAACACGUGAGUAACCUGCCCUUGACUUUGGGAUAACUUCAGGAAACUGGGGCUAAUACCGGAUAGGAGCUCCUGCUGCAUGGUGGGGGUUGGAAAGUUUCGGCGGUUGGGGAUGGACUCGCGGCUUAUCAGCUUGUUGGUGGGGUAGUGGCUUACCAAGGCUUUGACGGGUAGCCGGCCUGAGAGGGUGACCGGCCACAUUGGGACUGAGAUACGGACCAGACUCCUACGGGAGGCAGCAGUGGGGAAUAUUGCACAAUGGGCGGAAGCCUGAUGCAGCAACGCCGCGUGCGGGAUGACGGCCUUCGGGUUGUAAACCGCUUUCGCCUGUGACGAAGCGUGAGCGACGGUAAUGGGUAAAGAAGCACCGGCUAACUACGUG